rnacentral:misc_RNA from 1 species
UGAAAGUAAAAGUCGUAACAAGGUUUCCGUAGGUGAACCUGCGGAAGGAUCAUUACAGAAUGAAAAGUGCUUAACUGCAUUUUUUCUUACACAUGUGUUUUUCUUUUUUUGAAAACUUUGCUUUGGUAGGCCUUCUAUAUGGGGCCUGCCAGAGAUUAAACUCAACCAAAUUUUAUUUAAUGUCAACCGAUUAUUUAAUAGUCAAAACUUUCAACAACGGAUCUCUUGGUUCUCGCAUCGAUGAAGAACGCAGCGAAAUGCGAUAAGUAAUAUGAAUUGCAGAUAUUCGUGAAUCAUCGAAUCUUUGAACGCACAUUGCGCCCUUUGGUAUUCCAAAGGGCAUGCCUGUUUGAGCGUCAUUUCUCCCUCAAACCCUCGGGUUUGGUGUUGAGCGAUACGCUGGGUUUGCUUGAAAGAAAGGCGGAGUAUAAACUAAUGGAUAGGUUUUUUCCACUCAUUGGUACAAACUCCAAAACUUCUUCCAAAUUCGACCUCAAAUCAGGUAGGACUACCCGCUGAACUUAAGCAUAUCAAUAAGCGGA